rnacentral:rRNA from 1 species
AAGGCUUGACAUGGGGAAGACUGGACGAGAGAUCGUCCUUCUCUAGCAAUAGAGCUUCCACACAGGUGCUGCAUGGCUGUCGUCAGCUCGUGUCGUGAGAUGUUGGGUUAAGUCCCGCAACGAGCGCAACCCCGUUUCUAGUUGCCAUCAUUCAGUUGGGCCCUCUAGAGAGACUGCCGCGAAUAACGCGGAGGAAGGUGGGGACGACGUCAAGUCAUCAUGGCCCUUACG